UUGUUACCUGGUUGAUCCUGCCAG
rnacentral:rRNA from 1 species